CAUUACGACGAAGCCGAAAGGAAAAUUUGAUUGCGGAUGCAAUGUAUCUUACUUUACUCAUGGAUCUGCGAAAAUAUUUGACAUAAAUAUAAAGGGAAAUCCCUCAUUCAGAGGAUUAAAGACACAUUUAACAAAAAUCGUCAACGGUGCCAUACCCAGUAAACGCCACAGGUUAUUUAAGCAAAUGAUCCAUGGGCGAAAUCAAGCUCAGACUGAACUCACCGAUCUCUACAUGACGUGUCCUUUAACUCAAACUCAAAUAUAAAAACAUAUUCUCUGUUAGAAAUAGAGCCCCACUAGUGUCUUAACUCGUCAUUUUUGUAUAUAUAGGCAAAAGAUCUGUUGAAUGUAGUCAAAGAAAUAGUCACAGAUAUUUUUCGAUCCUUUGAUGAAACAAAUUCAAUGAACAUCAACUACAUGUAUAACGUUUUAUUCCCUGAGGCUUGCAUAUAUUGUAUACGAAAAAUUGAGCGUUGUCUCCGAAAUAACGCUGAAAAAAUUUUAUAAUUGUGCGAGUGGAGUUCAAGACGGUGCAGACUCUGAAAGUGACUAACCUUGUUGUCUACCGAAAAACCUGAAAGCUGUAGUGGAUCUUGUAAAAAUUUGAGGAUUUUCAAGAGCUUGAAGUGACUGCACAAACCUGUUAUACAUCAUCGCUGGUGCUUUCAUAGUCGUGUGUAAAAAUAUCGCUUUACCAUAUUCAACAUCAAGUACGUUUUCAUGGUUAAUAAAACUAUUCAAAA